CCUAAUACAUGCAAGUCGAGCGAACGGACGAGAAGCUUGCUUCUCUGAUGUUAGCGGCGGACGGGUGAGUAACACGUGGAUAACCUACCUAUAAGACUGGGAUAACUUCGGGAAACCGGAGCUAAUACCGGAUAAUAUUUUGAACCGCAUGGUUCAAAAGUGAAAGACGGUCUUGCUGUCACUUAUAGAUGGAUCCGCGCUGCAUUAGCUAGUUGGUAAGGUAACGGCUUACCAAGGCAACGAUGCAUAGCCGACCUGAGAGGGUGAUCGGCCACACUGGAACUGAGACACGGUCCAGACUCCUACGGGAGGCAGCAGUAGGGAAUCUUCCGCAAUGGGCGAAAGCCUGACGGAGCAACGCCGCGUGAGUGAUGAAGGUCUUCGGAUCGUAAAACUCUGUUAUUAGGGAAGAACAUAUGUGUAAGUAACUGUGCACAUCUUGACGGUACCUAAUCAGAAAGCCACGGCUAACUACGUGCCAGCAGCCGCGGUAAUGCGUAGGUGGCAAGCGUUAUCCGGAAUUAUUGGGCGUAAAGCGCGCGUAGGCGGUUUUUUAAGUCUGAUGUGAAAGCCCACGGCUCAACCGUGGAGGGUCAUUGGAAACUGGAAAACUUGAGUGCAGAAGAGGAAAGUGGAAUUCCAUGUGUAGCGGUGAAAUGCGCAGAGAUAUGGAGGAACACCAGUGGCGAAGGCGACUUUCUGGUCUGUAACUGACGCUGAUGUGCGAAAGCGUGGGGAUCAAACAGGAUUAGAUACCCUGGUAGUCCACGCCGUAAACGAUGAGUGCUAAGUGUUAGGGGGUUUCCGCCCCUUAGUGCUGCAGCUAACGCAUUAAGCACUCCGCCUGGGGAGUACGACCGC
rnacentral:rRNA from 1 species